CACCCGCCCGCUCCCCUCCUCCAGGCGAGGAGCAGCACUUCGGGUGCAGGUAAGCUCCGUUCUCAAUAUAUCCUUGCCUUCCCUGCUGCCCACAGCCUCACCCCGGGGUGCCCUGGGGAGCGCUCCCCCCUCCCCCCAUUGGGAGCUUCUGAAGGUCGUGGACCUCUGGAAGUGCCUGGCGGCUCUCCCUCCCCUCCCCGUGCCCUUCAGCUCCCGCAGUUGUCGUGCUUUCACCGGGGCUGAGGCAUCCCACACUUGUGCCGGGCUUCAAGCAGGUGCUCUGUGCCCCCGGGGUGGCUCUGCUCGGGGAACACGGGGCUCCAAUUUCGGUGGCACCUCCGGCACGGUGCAGAAGGACGCAGUGAUUGAGUGGGGUUGAGGCAUUUGGGGCACGGCGCUGGUGGGUUCUGCCCUGCGGCUCCAGUUAGGUCCGGGCUUGGGCUCUUGGUGAGCCGGGCUUUGUCACUGCGUGACCUUGGGACGAGCCCUUGGUGCUGUGCUGGGGUCGGUGUCCCCUCCUCGCUGCUGGCUGCGUCCCAGCGUCGGGCAGGGUGGGGACGUGCGGUGCCGGCGUGGCCUAACGGGGGCUCUGCCAAGUGAAACAAGUGGGGUCUGAUUCUCAUUUGCGCCCCGGCCCCUUUUCCUGCAACUCUGGCGACGUAAAGGAGCCUAAAUAUGGUCAUAAAGCACAGCCACACCGAGGUCCCUCCGUGCUGCCGGGGCCGCCUAAAAGCAUCUUUGUGCAAAGGAGAACAAAGCCCAAAGUGUCGGAUGGGGAGCGGGAGUUUGAGCUGGCAUCCUCAGCCAGCUGUGGUCCCCAGGGCACGUGGGGAUAAUGCUCCCAGUGCUCACCUGGGGCUGUGGGGUGGCGUGGGGACAGCUGUGCCACCAGCACGGCCCUUUGCAACCUAUUUAAACCCGCAAGCGUGCAGCGCUGGGAAGUUUGCUCUUUUCUGGCUUGCUCUCUGCCUGCAGCGCACCCACGGGCGGUAGGGACCUGAUGCACGACGCCACCCGUGUCCCAUAGGUUUUGCUGUGAUGUUUUGUUCUGCCCUGUGUCCGGGAGGAAGGGGCUGUGUGCUGCCCACCUCCCAGUAGGACGUGGCGAUGCUGUACAGCACUCCAGGGCAUCCCUUGAGCCCCCACCAUACCCGAGAUGCGCCGAGCUGACGCGGAUGCCCCGAGUGUACAGGCUGUGCUGGACUUCCCCAUCUGCAACCAGAGCUAAAAAAUACCCCCACGCCUCACCCCAGCGCUGUCCCAUCUGCAGGCUCUCCAGCCCCGGGGACUCUGUGGCUGUUUUGCAGUUCCUUGGGGCUGAGCUGGCCGUGGCACAGAGGUGACGGGGUGGCAGGUGAUGGCCCUGAGCAGAGCAUGGCUGCAGUGAGUCACUGCAGGGCAAGGGUGAUGGCUGGGUGCCGUAGGUUGGGUUGGUACCCCGUGCCUCCCUGUUCCAAAAGGGGGUCGUUCCCUCGUCCCCCACUGGUGCCGUUUUGUGCUCUUCCUCCUUGUGCUGCGCCUCUCAGGUUUCCUUACCUUUUUUCCUUCUCAUUAGCGAAACUUUCAAUCGAGGGCUGAAAUUUGUUAAUCGUUUUGUUUGAUCGGAGCUCAGGCAGCGCCGGAAGGACCUCGAGGUUCUCCCUGCGCCUCGGCUGAGCAGCAGUUUGCUUUUGCUUUCAAGAUGGAUCAAGCCGCCUGCCUGCCGGCAACCGCUGCCUUCGCAGAGCUGUCGCUUUUCAUCUCGCGCUUUGCCUCUGUUUGCUCACAGUUUUUUCUCUCCUUUCUCCUGCCCUCGCUCCUGGUGUCACUCCCCACCACGGGAAAAGAAAGGCACGGCAGCAACGCAGCGCUUCGACACCGAAUGCGCCGGCGUGGGGUGAAAGAUUUCAGGGCAAACUCGUGAGGCGCUGCAGAAGCGAAUACCCAGGAACACGCUCCGCUGGGGACAGUGGGGAUCGUUCUGAGUGGUGUUCUUCACAAAACAGACAUGGAGCACUCACGGAGGGCGUUCCACCAACGAGGUAAAGAUGCGUGGGGUUGGCAGAGCAGGGCUUGUCGAGAAAUCCGUCGUUUCCACUGAGGGAGGAAGGAAAAUGAAAGGAAGAAAAAAAGCAAAAUAACCAAAUGGAUGCGUUCUUCUGCCUCGGCGAUGCUCUGGUUCUGCACCCGUGGCAAUGCAUUGCUGGUGGGGUGGAGUGGAAUGGGAAUGAUGUGGGGCUGUGGUUGGAACCUCUACAGCCUCCACGCCAUGAGAGCCUCAGGGUGGCCUCGUCCUGCCCGGAAUGCAGCAGGGCUCCGUAGAGAGGGAUUCCUGCCCUUGUGAGAAGUGCUACAGGAGAUUUGGCAAGCGAGCGAGUGGUGCUUUGCUAUCUUGCAGCAAAGCUUGCUGUGCUUUGCUGGUGAGCAGCAGCCGUGGCCUCCUAUGGACCCAAAUUCGGCAGCUGAAGCCUCGUCCUCAUCGGGUUGUGCUUGUGGGCAAUGCGACGAGCGGGGCUGCGGGGCUGCCCAUCUCCUGCGCCCUGCUGGGUCACCGAGCAGCCCCUGCCCCCCUCCCAUGCACUGCACCUCUCUGCUCGUUUUCUUGUUCCAAAAGACCCCCAUCCCUGUGCAGAACGCAGCCGGGAGCUGCGCGGCUCCGAGCCCUCGCGUUUGCUAAAAUAGAAGCAGAACAAAUGGUCGGAGCGAGAUCCUGGUUGUGAAGGCAGCCAAGGCUCUUCCUGCAGCAGCUGGUGGCUGGUAUGCUGCGUCUUGCUCCCUUCAGCAAGCCUCUCGAUAGAACUGGCAUUUUUACUGCAGGGGGAGAGAAGCAUCUGUCUUCAGGGCGGCGUUGGUGAGGCAGGGCUUGGCACGACCCCAUCCUUGCUGGGGGUUUGUAUGGGGGGGAUGCUGAAGUCACCCCUUGUAAGCAUCCCCCCCACCCUGUGCUGGUGCAGGCGGUGUGUUGGGUCUCCUCGGCAGUGGUUGCACAUGGAGAGGUGUGGAUUCCAUCCUGGGAUGGGGAGCAGUGCUUUCUAACCGCUACGGCUUCCUUCUCUGCUGCAGCGCUGAGGGACGCAGUGCAGCGGUGGGAGCCAGGAGAUGGGUUGGUUGGACUCGAUGAUGUUGAAGGCUCUCUUCCAACCUUGGUGGUUCUGUGAUUCUGUGCCAUGCUGUGUUGCCACAGGGGGUUUGGUCACCAAAAUGGCAUCGCUGGGGCACGGCGCUGUGCUGGGCUGCAGGAGCCGGUGAGGGAGGGAUGCUUGGACAUCCCCACAGCUCCCAAUGGCAGCGUUGGCUGCGGGAGCAAAGAGUAAGAGACCAAAUCAGAGCGUUGGGAGUGGAAGCAGAAAGCGUUGGCCAUGCUCUGCUCCUCUCAAUCCCUGUGGCCAACGGCGACGGGAUUCCAUGCGUGGAAUGGGGGUUUGUAUGGGGGGGGGAUGCUGAAGUCACCCCGAUGCAGGAGGUGCAGAGAGCUUUGUAAGCAUCCCCCCCACCCUGUGCUGGUGCAGGCGGUGUGUUGGGUCUCCUCAGCAUCUGGGAUGCAGAGGGCUGCUCCAUCAGAAGAGCCCCACUUGUAAAGGUGCGAAGGGCAGAGGAGCUGCCCACGCUUGGGGAUGUUCUCCUGUCAUCCUUUCGAGCUCUCUGUCCACUCGUGUGACCUGUGGGAGUUUUGGUGGAGGAGGGAGCAGGGCUGCUUUGCACGCACCCACAGUGUGAACCUAUGCACGAGCACAGGGAGGAAUGGGGGGCUUUUUUUGUCCUGCAAACGCAGAUUUGUUUUGAGUUUUGCUCAGAUAAAUACUGCUGUGGUUAAUACGGAGCUCUGGGCACUGCAGGAAGGAAUCCUGGUGGCUCCGGUCUUGCUAAGUUGGAUGCGAGAGCUUUGGGGUUUGGCUCCUGUUUGGGGACUGAAAUCAAAUGUUCUGAGAGGUUGUGUGCAUCCUUCUGUGGCUCUGCUCCCAGCCUGGAACUCCGCACCAGAAAUGGGGCACUGCAGGGUGCCUUGCACUACACCGGAGUGUUGCAGGGUGUCAUGCAGCAAGAGGUGCCAUGCAUGAACCAGGGUGUUGCAGGGGAUGGGUGCUGCAGGGUGCCGUGCACCGGGGGAUGGGUGCUGCAGGGUGCCGUGCCGUGCACCAGGGUCACAUUCUGACAUCCCUGCUGGGAUUUUUCCAACGUGGGGACCCAGUGCCACGUGCACCCUGUGGGUCCCCAGGGCUUUCUGGCUCCCCCUGGGACCUGCUUACAGGUCAUGGCCCAUUAGGCAGUGUUUGCACAGAGCUGUUUGUCUGCCAUCUUGUUUUGAUUUUGAUUAUUUUGGCAAUUUUGCAUCACCGUGGGUUGGGAAGGGGUGCAGGAAGGGAGCUGGUUUGUGAUGCGUGCUGGUGGGAUUCGCUUCAUUCCUGUGCAGCAGCAGCGUUUGGUGCUCCAGGGUCAUCCCGACACCCUCCAGCUCACCCCCAGCAGCCCAGGAGGUCCUUGAGACCAGAGCUGGGAGCAUCCAUGGGCAUCCCUGGAGGCAGGGAGCAGCAGCCAUGUGCGCUCCCACCCUGAAUCCCAUUGGGAUGGGAUCCCACCCGCAACCCCGAUGCGGGCAGAGCGACGCGGAGCAGUGGGAGCACAGCAAACCCCAAGGGUUGGGAGACCUCGUCGCCCUCCUGGCUGCCCAAAUGAGUCCUGGGUGCUGCUGUGGGUGCUGCUUGUGUUUUACUUUUCUCCACCAUAGGUCCCCAACGUGGCUCAUCUGCAUUUUCAGCCUUCUUCUCCCAACCGUUCUCACACUGAAGUCUGUAACGCUGAAAUUAUAGCAUCGCCGUCGUUUCCGUGGCAACUUGCAGGGAUGUAUUUAAAAAAAAAAAAA